rnacentral:rRNA from 1 species
GAUGAACGCUGGCGGCGUGCCUAACACAUGCAAGUCGAACGGACUUACAUUGAAGCCUAGCGAUGUGUAAGUUAGUGGCGGACGGGUGAGUAACGCGUGGGUAACCUGCCUUGUACGUGGGGGACAACAGUUGGAAACGACUGCUAAUACCGCAUAAGCGCACAGCUUCGCAUGAAGCAGUGUAGAAAAACUCCGGUGGUACAAGAUGGACCCGCGUCUGAUUAGCUGGUUGGUGGGGUAACGGCCUACCAAGGCGACGAUCAGUAGCCGGACUGAGAGGUUGAACGGCCACAUUGGGACUGAGAUACGGCCCAG